rnacentral:misc_RNA from 1 species
GAUGAAGAACGCAGUGAAAUGCGAUAAGUAAUGUGAAUUGCAGAAUUCAGUGAAUCAUCGAAUCUUUGAACGCACAUUGCGCCCCUUGGUAUUCCGGGGGGCAUGCCUGUUCGAGCGUCAUUAUAACCCUCAAGCCUAGCUUGGUGUUGGAGCAUGCUACCUAAGCAGCUCUUAAAAUCAGUGGCAGUGCCCUUCGGCUCUAAGCGUAGUAACUUCUCUCGCUAUGGAACCCGGAGGGUACGCGCCAGAACCCCCAACUUUCUAUGGUUGACCUCGGAUCAGGUAGGGAUACCCGCUGAACUUAAGCAUAUCAAUAAGCGGAGGA